rnacentral:rRNA from 1 species
UACGGAAGGUCCGGGCGUUAUCCGGAUUUAUUGGGUUUAAAGGGAGCGUAGGCCGGCUUUUAAGUCAGCUGUGAAAGUCCGCGGCUCAACCGUGGAAUUGCAGUUGAAACUGGAGGCCUUGAGUGCACACAGGGAUGCCGGAAUUCAUGGUGUAGCGGUGAAAUGCUUAGAUAUCAUGAAGAACACCGAUGGCGAAGGCAGCCCCCUGGGACGCAACUGACGCUCAUACACGAAAGCGUGGGGAGCAAACAGG